rnacentral:rRNA from 1 species
UAGGGAAUCUUCGGCAAUGGGCGAAAGCCUGACCGAGCAACGCCGCGUGAAUGAUGAAGGCCUUCGGGUUGUAAAAUUCUGUUAUAAGGGAAGAACGGCUUUAGUAGGAAAUGGCUAGAGUGUGACGGUACCUUAUGAGAAAGCCACGGCUAACUACGUGCCAGCAGCCGCGGUAAUACGUAGGUGGCAAGCGUUAUCCGGAAUUAUUGGGCGUAAAGAGCGCGCAGGUGGUUGAUUAAGUCUGAUGUGAAAGCCCACGGCUUAACCGUGGAGGGUCAUUGGAAACUGGUCGACUUGAGUGCAGAAGAGGGAAGUGGAAUUCCAUGUGUAGCGGUGAAAUGCGUAGAGAUAUGGAGGAACACCAGUGGCGAAGGCGGCUUCCUGGUCUGUAACUGACACUGAGGCGCGAAAGCGUGGGGAGCAAACA